GGGCCAAGGGCCGGGUAGCUGGACCUCACACCACAACCAUUGUCUCUCUUCACUAGAGGUAGUAGUAGUAGAGCCGUAGCUGCUCGUGCAGAGCAGGCGUUAGAAAUCCUGCUGCUGUGUCGAGAGAAUCAGGAGAAGGCAAACAUGCGUUCCAUCUAGCUUCUCUAGAUGUCCUGCUCCUUCUCUUUCUUUCCUCAUGCCAUGCCGCUGUUGCUAGUGCUUCUCUAUAUAGCUAGUUUGUAGCACUAUUCUUGUUGUUAAUUCUUUAACAUCAGCUAGUGUGUCCUUGUACAGUACGCAUGGUGGUUUGGUCCUGCAUGCUAGUUGUGAAAGAUGCAUGCGUCUUAUCUCCCAAGAACUCCUCUAGAUUAUUUUGUCUUUUCUCUCUUUCUAUCUUGUACCACAUGCUUUGUUCUGACUAAGUACGCCUCACUUUUACUUGUUGGACCUGUACACUCGUUAUGCUAAGAAUAGCACAUGCAAGACUAGCUAAUCUUGUGCACAAGCUAGAGAUGAUAUAUUGGUGAUCUUUUGAGAUAAUAUUUCCUCUUCUAAUGUUUCAGCCCUAAUGAAAAAUCUAACACUAAGGCAUCACGACGGCAAAAACAUUGUACCGGUCACAGUACAAGUAUGAGACUGUCAAGGUUCUCCGUCAAGAACGACACCCAUUCGGAAGCGUGUCGAUGAUGGAUCCGUAGGAGCGAUCGACACUAGUAAGAGAUGAGCAAUGGAAAUGAUGGUGAACAGUAGAAGUAGUACUACAGGAGGGGAUGAAAUAAAGAAACUUGCAUGCAUGUACUAGCAAGAACACUGGUAGUCGUUCCUAUGAUAAUGAAUAAAAAAUGAUCCCAAUGUACUACCUUUGUUAACCUGAUGGCCUAACAUGCUCAUAAAUUUGAAUUGAAUUUAUAAGCAUGUGGCAAUUGUCACUGCUAUGUUUUGGGGCGUGACAUAUUUACACUGUAGUUGCCAUAGUGCUUAAACUAAAGUUGCCAUGUGGCAAUUUUAGUUUGUAGAUCAUGACAAUUUUAGUGUUUUUAUGAUGACAAUUUCAGUACUUUGACCAUGAAAAUAUUUUUUUGUAUAAACCAUGGCAAUUUUAAGUGCAUGUAUCAUGGCAAUUUUAGUUUAUGGUGCAUGGCAAGUCUAGUUUCUUAAUUCCCUGUUUUAUAAUAUGUCAAAAUUUACUUUUAAAUGUAGAAGAAAAUAGCUGAAACA